CAAGAAGGAAGGUGUUUUAAAGUGUAUUUAAAGCUAGGCAGUGCCUGCCUGGCUUCAUUCUGCCUCUGGAAUUUGGAGGAAGAGAGAGAGCUGCCUUGCCUUGCUGCUGCAUGCCUGCCUUGCUCUGCUGGACCCCCGCUCUGCUGGGUUUUCUUGCCGCAAGACCCCCAGUUGUUGAGUGCCAAUGUGUGCUGCCUGGCCUGAUUGCCCAAGCUCCCUCCUGGUCAAACCUUACCUGAAGAUGUCAGACUGUAAAGCAGCAGCAGCCACCAAUGAGCCUUGAACUAACUCUUCAGAAAGGGUGACCUGGCCCCACUUCUUUCAGGAGCAGGCUUUGGUCCUCUUAUAAGGAACUUUGCCCGAUUUUGCAGGCACUUGCUUGAGGGGCUGAAAUUAAGUGGUAUGUUCACUACCCUUCAAGCAAGUUCCAUGCCAUACGAUCUUGGCCAAGGGCAAGAGGACUCUUUCUAUGUUUAUUUCUCUCUCUCUCUCUCUCUCCAAGAUUACAUAUGUGUGUCGUAUGGACAUAGCUGUAUGUGCAUUGUCAGGGGUACUGGAGAGAACUGAGUAUUUUCUUAUUGGACUUGUAUACAAUUGAAGGCUAAGGUAU